AGCUGAUGGUUGAGAGUCAACAUUAGGGUUUUACUUCAGACGUAAGCUAAACAUGGCCCUCUCCCUUACAUACUAUUAACAUCUUGCUAAGAGAGUGUUUCCUGUUCACAGCAUGUACUGGAAUGAAUCUUGUUGAGCGACUCAUAAUCCAGGACUGAAGUUCCUCUGUGUAUCUGUAAAUUAAACUGCAAAAUGAAGAAGGAAGAAACUUAGCAUAGGGUUAUAUGUAAUGACAACUUGUCAAUGGGGAGGGAAUAGAAGCUUCAUCUACAAUUUAACAGCAGUUUUCCAGUGAAGCUCUCUUCCCAGGACAGGCAAGAGUAUCUAAUAAGGGAGCAGGAAUGGAGAUGGCAGGAGGCAGAGGAGAAGAGAAAACUCCUGAUGAAGAAAGAAGGAAGAAGCAAGCAGAAAUGUUUCAAGAAUCCAGGAAGCAGAUCUGUGAUUUCACCAAUGCAGAGUGGACAGCUUCUUAUGAAAAAUGGCAUUCUAUAUGGCUCCUGGAAGUCAGGGAUAAUCUCUUCCAGGAUCUACGGAGGCCUUAUGUCAUUGAUUUCCAGGUUAUCUACCGCCUACAGAGAGCAGCUCUCAGAUUAUUCAUCAUGAAGGAGUGACCACAAAGGCUUAAAUAACUGCAGCACGGACUUCAGCAGACUCUAAUAUCUGGCAUAAGCCUUCUGUGAGCCAAUGAUUGGAAGGAACAUCGAAGACCAUCAAGUCCAUGUCCCAGCUGAAAAAAAGAGGCCAUCCACCAUAAAAUGAGAGAGAGACAGAGAGAGGGAGAGAAAGGAAAGGAGGGAGGGAGAGAGGGAGAGGGAGAGAGAGAGAGAUAGCGCUCAUCUAGCCUCUACCUGCAGAUCUUCAGUGAUGGGGAACCCAUGACCUCCCAAGUCAGCCCAUCGCACUUCUAGAAAGCUCCAAAUAAAGAAGUGUAUCCUUUUCA
rnacentral:lncRNA from 1 species